rnacentral:tRNA from 1 species
GGUCGGUUAGCUCAGUCAGUUGAGCGUGGCGCCAACAACACUAACGUCGCGGGUUCGAUUCCCGUUCAGUCCC